AUGCACGCUGGCGGCGUGCCUAAUACAUGCAAGUCGUGCGAACAGACGAGGAGCUUGCUCCUCUGACGUUAGAGGCGGACGGGUGAGUAACACGUGGAUAACCUACCUAUAAGACUGGGAUAACUUCGGGAAACCGGAGCUAAUACCGGAUAAUAUAUUGAACCGCAUGGUUCAAUAGUGAAAGACGGUUUUGCUGUCACUUAUAGAUGGAUCCGCGCCGCAUUAGCUAGUUGGUAAGGUAACGGCUUACCAAGGCAACGAUGCGUAGCCGACCUGAGAGGGUGAUCGGCCACACUGGAACAGAGACACGGUCCAGGCUCCUACGGGACGCACCAGUAGGGAAUCUUCCGCAAUGGGCGAAAGCCUGACGGAGAAACGCCGCGUGAGUGAUGAAGGUCUUCGGAUCGUAAAACUCUGUUAUUAGGGAAGAACAAAUGUGUAAGUAACUAUGCACGUCUUGACGGUACCUAAUCAGAAAGCCACGGCUAACUACGUG
rnacentral:rRNA from 1 species